rnacentral:misc_RNA from 1 species
AUUUAGAGGAAGGAGAAGUCGUAACAAGGUUUCCGUAGGUGAACCUGCGGAAGGAUCAUUGUCGAUGCCUAAACAUCAAACGACCCGCGAACGCGUUUACAAACCUUCCGCGCCGGGGGGAGCACUCGUGCCCCCCCCGGGGCCUAAACCAAACCCCGGCGCAGGUCGCGCCAAGGAACUCAAACGAAUUAGCCCGCCCCUCGCCCCGGUCUCGGCGUGCGGGGGGCGGAGCGUGGUUGAUCCAACCUCGGUACCGCGUCGCGACCUCAGCCCGCGCACCUCCUCCCUGCGAGCGAGCGAGCGAGGACUCCCAUGCCGACCCUCUGAACGUCGUCCCCAAAGACGAUGCUCUCGACGCGACCCCACU